rnacentral:rRNA from 1 species
CCACGAGUUUGAUCAUGGCUCAGAUUGAACGCUGGCGGAAUGCUUUACACAUGCAAGUCGAACGGUAGAGGGGGCAACCCCUUGAGAGUGGCGAACGGGUGAGUAAUAUAUCGGAACGUGCCCAGUCGUGGGGGAUAACGUAGCGAAAGUUACGCUAAUACCGCAUACGAUCUACGGAUGAAAGCGGGGGACUCGCAAGAGCCUCGCGCGAUUGGAGCGGCCGAUAUCAGAUUAGGUAGUUGGUGGGGUAAAGGCUCACCAAGCCAACGAUCUGUAGCUGGUCUGAGAGGACGACCAGCCACACUGGAACUGAGACACGGUCCAGACUCCUACGGGAGGCAGCAGUGGGGAAUUUUGGACAAUGGACGCAAGUCUGAUCCAGCCAUUCCGCGUGCAGGAUGAAGGCCCUCGGGUUGUAAACUGCUUUUGUACGGAACGAAAAGGUUUCUAUUAAUACUAGGAGCUCAUGACGGUACCGUAAGAAUAAGCACCGGCUAACUACGUG